CUGAAAAAAACUGUAACUCAGUGGAAAAACCUUCAACACAUAAGUCGAACGUCACAGUAAAUACGUAGUUCAAGGCAGAAUUGAUUAAGAUCCGAAAAUAGUACGGUUAGACAAACGAUAUAAAAGACGAGUAUGUGUUUGUUACCAUUCGUUUCUUGCGUCAGCAUAAUGAACUCGAAUACGGACCUCGCUGCUACUGCUGCGCGAACGUAAACUGCAUUACAGCCGCAUUGUGAUGUAAAUUUUUCAACGAGCAGCAGCUUUCAAAGAAUUUCGAUUCCACCGGUGAAUUUUCGGUGGAACAAUUUUCGUUGGCGCAAUUUUCAUUACGCGAUUUAUUAUUAUUCGUGCGCAUUGAUUUUUACAAAGUAGGAACUGCGUCGAUAAAACGGAGAGACUCAAUUGACCGAAGAGAGAGAAACGUAAGCUCUUGUUUCUUUCGCUAAUGUCGGACCGAAAUUGGCGUGAUUGAAAAAUGAGUAAGCGUCUGAAAUAGUACCACGAACAAUAUUAUGGGUGAG